rnacentral:misc_RNA from 1 species
GAUGAAGAACGUAGCGAAAUGCGAUAAGUAAUGCGAAUUGCAGAAUUCAGUGAAUCAUCGAAUCUUUGAACGCACAUUGCGCCCCCUGGUAUUCCGGGGGGCAUGCCUGUCCGAGCGUCAUUACAACCCUCAAGCUCAGCUUGGUAUUGGGCCCCGCCGACCCGGCGGGCCCUAAAGUCAGUGGCGGUGCCGUCCGGCUCCGAGCGUAGUAAUUCUUCUCGCUCUGGAGGUCCGGUCGUGUGCUCGCCAGCAACCCCCAAUUUUUUUCAGGUUGACCUCGGAUCAGGUAGGGAUACCCGCUGAACUUAAGCAUAUCAAUAAGCGGAGGA